CUAGAGUGCCAACAGAUGUUCCACAGGUGAUUAGAGUCUGCACAGACUUUAAAAAAUAUUAUCAUGCACUUUACCAAGCCAGUAAGAAACCAGCAAACAAGUGUCUACCUACCUCUGUACAUGUGUGCUACUAAUCCUUUAAAGAUCAUCAUUAAUUUUUCUCCCCUUUAUAAUGGAUCUGAGCUUUUUUUUUUGGAUGUGGAUGGAGUUUUGCCAGAAAGGAUUUUGUGGUUUCAUUCAGCAAUAUGAAAACUCGUGUGCUUGUCUCUGCAGAGGAAGAGAGGAAUAUAGCUUCGGUGAGUCCUGGAUGCUGCAUACUCUCUCUACAUGUCUUCGGGUACAGCUCGCAGGCAGUAUGAGGCCAUGUGAACUAACAAUUUAG
rnacentral:lncRNA from 1 species